GCCCAGGCUCAGAGCACCCACGUGGAUAUUAAUGGACCUUAUUAACUUGCAGGUAGAAGAACUGCUGCUGCUUCACUUGCCAAGGGAAGAAUGUGAGAAGCAGGUGCAGACUUUGCUAACGCAAUGUGCCUGGCCACCUGUUGAAUCCACAGAGGGGACAGAAGAGCAUUCUGCAGCUAUAGUCCUGGGAAUGGAGAGCAGCCGCCUGAGACAGUGCAGCCAGUUGCACUUUCCAGCUGUAAACAUCCCUGCAGAUCAUGGGCCAAGGAGAUGCAAGAAAUGAAAUUCAUCUUGCAUGCCAGGAGAGGAAUACUGUGCGAGCAACCUGACUGGCCAGCUGAUGACACAUCCCAAGAUACGUGAAGAGUUGAGGACCAUAGCAGACAACAGGGAUUCCUCUUUAUCAGGAGGUAAGGAAUAUACAGUACCUGUUUAUAGCAUCCCAGUGCAAAUCAAAGACUUUGUUUUUUCUUUCGGAGCCUAUGUUAUAUGUCAAG